AGUCGGGUACAUAUUGCACAAG
rnacentral:miRNA from 1 species